AAAAAGAUAAGCUAAUCAAAGCUUUUAGGUUCAUACCCUAAAUAUAGAACUAAUAAUUCUUCUUUUUA
rnacentral:tRNA from 1 species